UUCGCCCUUAGAGUUUGAUCCUGGCUCAGAACGAACGCUGGCGGCAGGCUUAACACAUGCAAGUCGAACGCCCCUUUCGGGGGGAGUGGCAGACGGGUGAGUAACACGUGGGAACGUACCUCUUUGUUCGGAAUAACUCAUGGAAACGUGAGCUAAUACCGGAUACGCCCUUUUGGGGAAAGAUUUAUCGCAGAGAGAUCGGCCCGCGUCUGAUUAGCUAGUUGGUGAGGUAAUGGCUCACCAAGGCGACGAUCAGUAGCUGGUCUGAGAGGAUGAUCAGCCACACUGGGACUGAGACACGGCCCAGACUCCUACGGGAGGCAGCAGUGGGGAAUAUUGGACAAUGGGGGCAACCCUGAUCCAGCCAUGCCGCGUGAGUGAUGAAGGCCUUAGGGUUGUAAAGCUCUUUUAUCCGGGAAGAUAAUGACUGUACCGGAAGAAUAAGCCCCGGCUAACUUCGUGCCAGCAGCCGCGGUAAUACGAAGGGGGCUAGCGUUGUUCGGAAUCACUGGGCGUAAAGGGCGCGUAGGCGGACGAUUAAGUCAGGGGUGAAAUCCCGGGGCUCAACCUCGGAAUUGCCCUUGAUACUGGUUGUCUUGAGAUUGGAAGAGGUAAGUGGAAUUGCGAGUGUAGAGGUGAAAUUCGUAGAUAUUCGCAAGAACACCGGUGGCGAAGGCGACUUACUGGUCCAUAUCUGACGCUGAGGCGCGAAAGCGUGGGGAGCAAUACAGGAUUAGAUACCCUGGUAGUCCACGCCGUAAACGAUGGAUGCCAGCUGUUGGGGAGCAUGCUCUUCAGUGGCGCAAUCAACACAUUAAGCAUCCCGC
rnacentral:rRNA from 1 species